GCAGCCAUUGGGCGCGCUCAGGGUGGCCGCUGCGAGCGUGGGGCGAGCGUGGACCGCGGCGCGACGGUGCGACUCCUUCCCCGGCCCUUCUCCCCGCCGCAGGCGAGGGCACCGUGUGGCGGCGGCGGGGCCAGCGAGGCCGGAGGAGGCGGCUGUGCCCGGGCAUGGUGGUCUGGGGCAACGCGGAAGAAUCCUGUUUUGGUGGUGCAGCUCUUGGGAUCAGUGCUCUGAGCACCCAGCAGAAGAGGCUCUGAAUGCUUCGGGCUCAGUUAGUCAAGCACCGUGAGCUGCAACAGGGAACAUACAGACAGGAGGCCAGCUGGAGUCUCUCUCUUUCACUUCCUGACGUGUACACCCCGUCAACCCUCAAAUUUCAGCCUCCGAAGCUCCGAGAAAGCCCCUUGGGGAAUACUCUGCUCCUCCCUUUCACUGGGCAGAGCGACCAGCACAGGACCCAGCAUUAGAGAGCUGAACAGCCCCAGACCCCGCGGGCCGGGAGAGCUUCUGGGCAUCCUUCCGUGGGGUCCCAUCACCUCCCUGCUGGAGGCAGACUGGGUACCAGGACCCUGCGGUGAAGCCGACUGGGGAGCAGCUUCCUCCAGCCUCUCCAAGCACAGACGUCAGCGGCGAGGCUCAGACUUGGUGGCUGUGCUCUGUCUCUGCACAGGCUUGUGUACGCGCAGCGGGGGACCCACGCAGGGGACCGGGGUGGGGAAGCACACAGGAGGCAAGUGCAGAGUGGCGGCAAGUGGCGGUGGUGAUGCUGGGGCAGUGCGAGCGGACAGCGGCUCUCCUGGAGGCUCCACCCCUCGGCGGGCUGGCGUGGGAC